rnacentral:rRNA from 1 species
AUUGAACGCUGGCGGCAGGCUUAACACAUGCAAGUCGAGCGGGGUGAUGGUGCUUGCACUAUCACUUAGCGGCGGACGGGUGAGUAAUGCUUAGGAAUCUGCCUAUUAGUGGGGGACAACAUCUCGAAAGGGAUGCUGAUACCGCAUACGUCCUACGGGAGAAAGCAGGGGAUCACUUGUGACCUUGCGCUAAUAGAUGAGCCUAAGUCGGAUUAGCUAGUUGGUGGGGUAAAGGCCUACCAAGGCGACGAUCUGUAGCGGGUCUGAGAGGAUGAUCCGCCACACUGGGACUGAGACACGGCCCAGACUCCGCCGGGAGGCAGCAGUGGGGAAUAUUGGACAAUGGGGGGAACCCUGAUCCAGCCAUGCCGCGUGUGUGAAGAAGGCCUUAUGGUUGUAAAGCACUUUAAGCGAGGAGGAGGCUCUUUUGGUUAAUACCCAAGAUGAGUGGACGUUACUCGCAGAAUAAGCACCGGCUAACUCUGUGCCAGCAGCCGCCGUAA